ensembl:lncRNA
GCCAGUUUAACAGCUGGGCAAUAGUAUAGACCAUUGCCUUAUUCUAAAUCCCAACUCCAGAGAAGACGUGUACCGCUAUCACAUAAUGCCAUGACCAGUGUGCUGACCUUGCUGUCCAAGGAAAAACUUCAUCUCCUGGCCCCAUAUUCUAGAAGACUGAAGAUUUCAUUCCAUGAAAGGUUUUCUUGCAACCUACAUAGCACUGGCUGGGCAAGCAGAAGUUCUGAGUCGCACUGCGCCUCCCAUGCCAGUGAAGGCAAACUUCUGGCAAAGAACACCAAUGUUAUCACAGCCCCCUGCUCACUGGCUUCUCAUCGUCCUUCCUGCAUCCUGGCCCUGCAGGAAAGCAUGAUAUACCUGGGGUUGUUGGGGAAGGGAAGCUUCUUGGUAUGAAAUGCAGUGGUACGAAAUUAAUGGUGGAGGCUUCUCAUCAGUGAUCCUGCCUGGAUCAAGCAGGCAACACUAGAGGAGUCUCAGGCUCACACUGCUGGAAGGACUUAAUUGCCCUAGGGGACAUAAAACAGAAUCCAGCUACAAAGUUUUGGUCUCCAUCCCAGAUACUUAGUCUAUUAAAUGAGUCAGGAGGUUACGACUGAAAAGAAAUAAGCCCCUCAGCAGAAGUGCAUUUUGCAAUCUGCUCUGUUUGGAAAGGUGCUGAUGCAGUCAGGCUGCCAGCAUCAGGAGAUGGACUGAUUGCUGUUGCACCAGAUGGGGUAGGGGAGAAAGGAGAGGGAAAAUGGGCAUUUGCAGGCUCAUUGGAGAGGGCAGAAGUUGUGCUUUUCUACGCAUUUAGAUACUCCUCUAAAACGCUAGUGUAUGGUUUCAGCAGGUUGUAACUGAAGGCAGUAACACUUUCUCUAGACAUAGGCUAUUGAGAGUCUUUGUGAUGUGGCUAAGGAGAGUGGGAGGUCUAGUAGCUGGGGGCAGAGGUCUGAGAGCUACUCAGUCACUUUGUCACUUAGGGCAAGUUGUUUGACCUUUCUGCAUGUGCUUGCGCCGAGACAGAUAAAGUGGCUUGACACCAGACUUUCAUGAAAUAGCAGAAACUUAAUCUGAAAUAAACUUCCCUGAGUUCACUGAAGAGGUCA